AGUGAACGCUGGCGGCAGGCCUAACACAUGCAAGUCGAACGGCAGCACAGGAGAGCUUGCUCUCUGGGUGGCGAGUGGCGGACGGGUGAGGAAUAUAUCGGAAUCUACCCUUUCGUGGGGGAUAACGUAGGGAAACUUACGCUAAUACCGCAUACGAACUGAGGUUGAAAGCGGCGGACUGCAAGGCGUCGCGCGGAUGGAUGAGCCUAUAGCCGAUUAGCUAGUUGGAGGGGUAGAGGCCCACAAAGGCGACGAUCGGUAGCUGGUCUGAGAGGAUGAUCAGCCACACUGGAACUGAGACACGGUCCAGACUCCUACGGGAGGCAGCAGUGGGGAAUAUUGGACAAUGGGCGCAAGCCUGAUCCAGCCAUGCCGCGUGUGUGAAGAAGGCCUUCGGGUUGUAAAGCACUUUUGUUGGGAAAGAAAAGCGGUCGGUUAAUACCCGGUCGUUCUGACGGUACCCAAAGAAUAAGCACCGGCUAACUUCGUGCCAGCAGCCGCCGUAA
rnacentral:rRNA from 1 species